rnacentral:lncRNA from 1 species
GUAUUUGUGCUUCUGGACGAGAGGCACUGUUCCUCUUUCUGUGUUUUGUUGAGUACGAAUAAAAGGUUGCAACAGUAUGUGAUACCGCAGUAUUGUGCAGUGAACUCUGAGCUGUAACGAUAUGUGACACAUUCGUAUGUCACCGCGAAUCGGAGUUCCUAUAUAAGAAAUGUGUUUCCUUUGUCACCACAUGUUUUUGAGCGAUUUUUUGGUGAUCUACUCCGAUGAGCAAACUGUCUACAGCUCUUAUUUGGGAGGGACAUGCGCGGGAAGGCAUAUGAGGGGAAAGGAGGACAUGCAAAAGGGGAACACGUCCCUUCAUGGUUCGCCUUCACAGAAAUGAUCUUACUUUCCGGUCUCUGGGAAUUUUCCAAGAAUAACGGUGAUCUUUAUGGGAGUAGUUUCAGCACGCCAUUUCGAAAGAUCACAAGCAAAAGUUUCAAAUUUUAUUUGAAACGCUAUAAGUCAGUACUUUCCUAAUGGAAGCAGUGUGAUCCAGAUAUCAAAAUAUACUGCAUCGAAGAAGUAUGUAACUUAUUAUUAGGGCAUUUUGAACAUUUUGUGCAUGGAGACAACGAG